ACGCUCGACACCUACGGGAGGCAGCAGUGGGGAAUAUUGCACAAUGGGGGAAACCCUGAUGCAGCGACGCCGCGUGAAGGAAGAAGUAUCUCGGUAUGUAAACUUCUAUCAGCAGGGAAGAAAUGACGGUAUCUGACUAAGAAGCCCCGGCUAACUACGUACCAGCAGCCGCGGUAAUCUGAGCGGGCUGGCAAGGC
rnacentral:rRNA from 1 species